AUUUGAUGGCAUCAGUGAGAUUUAUCACAUAAUUCCCACUUGGAAUUCAUGGGACCCUGGCUGGAAUUAUUUCAGGAUCCACAGUAAAGGAUUUGGGGCUGGAAUUUGGCAUUUUUGGGAAAAUUGGGAAUUUUCCCUCCCCUUCUGACAGAUCCUCCCUUUUCCCCCAGGAUAUGGCACCUGGAGCACCGGGGCCACCGGCACCCAGGGUUCCUACGCCACGAACGCGACCAGCUGGCAAGGCUACGAGGGCUAUGAGUUCUGCACCCCCAAAUUCCCUUGCAGUGAUCCCGGGGCUUUUCCUGCUGGGAUCCCACAUCUCGAAUUCUUCAUUUCCCUUUUGAAUGAUCCCCUAAUUAGUUGAUUAAUGACUAAUUAACCCAUUCAUCCUCAGGCUAUGAGGGUUAUGAAUUCUAAACUCCCCAGAUUUCCUUGGAAUGAUCCUGGGGCUUUUCCUGCUGGG